AAGGAGAGAAAGAGUGCACCUUAGCAACAUAAAGUAAGGGUUAUUAUUUUACAGGAAAUAGGAUACAAAUCACAUUAACGGGCAGGAAGGAAAUCAAUCCUCAUAGUGACAAGGUGUGUUUAUUCUUAGAUACUUUAGGGAAAACAAUCACCAUCCACAGGACCAGAGCUCUCCCCACACCCCACUCCACCCCUCUCUCAAUUCCUCAGAACUUUUCCAUCUGCAGAGUUUUUUCCAGAAGAGAAAGCCAUUGACUUUCAGUGGAUGCCUUGAGGCUUCAGGAUUCGUAAAGAACUAGUUGUAAAGUGAUUUUCAUUGGUCCACAGAGAAGCAGGGCACUAAAAGAGAGAGGGCAGGAAGUGGACACUUCUGAAGGCAUAAGAAGGGCUUAGGUAAUGGGAGCAAUUUCACCAAAAUUGAACAUCAUUCAUAUUUCAUCUGCUAGUUCAGGUUGGAUUUGCUGCCCAAACAUUUGGAUCUGGUGACUGUGGAUCAGGAGCAAGGUUGGAUUUCCCUAAGAAAAGCUUGUGACAAAGAUUCAAGUGCUAGUAGCUCAUGUGAGUGAUGAUGUCUGGAAACACAGGUAGGAGACAGAGAAGAGAACGGCAAGCAGCCAAUAGAGGGCACAUUACCUGGGAAGUUACCACUGUGAGUAACUGGAGCUGACCCCAACUCUAGGAGACAGUAUGGAGCAUGGGUCUCAAAGUUAUCUCAACAAAGGGGUGAAUGGGCUGUUUAUACAUGAAUUCCAUCAACUAUUGGCUGACAGCUCAUCCAGGAGCAUAAUUCUUCAGCACUUCUGGCUGCUAAGCACAUGGACAAAGAAAACUCAAUUGGAAAUAUAGCAAGAAUACACUGAAAUAGUGAGGGUGAAUGUAUGGGCUGUUGCACACAUAGCAUCUACCACAAUUGGAAUGUUGUUUGGUAACCUGCUUUGUUCAUUUAUUAUACCUCGAAUUUUUUACAUGAUAUUAAAUGGUCUGAGUAUGA